GUGCUCACUUCAGCAGCACACCUACUAAAACUGGAAUGAUACAGAGAAGAUUAGCACGGCCUCUCCACCAGGGUGGGAUGCCAAUUCAUGAAGCAUUCCAUAUUUUC